UACGAAGGGGGCUAGCGUUGCUCGGAAUCACUGGGCGUAAAGGGUGCGUAGGCGGGUCUUUAAGUCAGGGGUGAAAUCCUGGGAAGCUCAACUCCAGAACUGCCCUUUGAUACUGAAGAUCUUGAGUUCGGGAAGAGGUGAGUGGAACUGCGAGUGGUAGAGGUGAAAUUCGUAGAUAUUCGCAAGAACACCAGUGGCGAAGGCGGACUCACCUGGCC
rnacentral:rRNA from 1 species